CUUGGUCAUUUAGAGGAAGUAAAAGUCGUAACAAGGUUUCCGUAGGUGAACCUGCGGAAGGAUCAUUAAACAUCAUCGGGGGGUUGGAUCCAGAUUGUCGGGCUUCGGUCUUGCCUUCUGCCCUUCCCUUACUGAUUUUACCCAUGUCUUUUGCGUACUAUUUGUUUCCUUGGUGGGCUUGCCCGCCGAUAGGACAUCAUUAAACCUUUUGUAAUUGCAGUCAGCGUCAGAAAAACAUAAUAAUUACAACUUUUAACAACGGAUCUCUUGGUUCUGGCAUCGAUGAAGAACGCAGCGAAAUGCGAUAAGUAGUGUGAAUUGCAGAAUUCAGUGAAUCAUCGAAUCUUUGAACGCACAUUGCGCCCCUUGGUAUUCCAUGGGGCAUGCCUGUUCGAGCGUCAUUUGUACCCUCAAGCUCUGCUUGGUGUUGGGUGUUUGUCCCGCUUUUCGCGUGGACUCGCCUUAAAACAAUUGGCAGCCGGCAUAUUGGCCUGGAGCGCAGCACAUUUUGCGCCUCUUGUCAUGAUUGUUGGCAUCCAUCAAGACCAUUUUUUGCUCUUGACCUCGGAUCAGGUAGGGAUACCCGCUGAACUUAAGCAUAUCAAUAAGCGGAGAA
rnacentral:rRNA from 1 species